rnacentral:rRNA from 1 species
AUUGAACGCUGGCGGCAUGCAUUACACAUGCAAGUCGAACGGUAACAGGCCGCAAGGUGCUGACGAGUGGCGAACGGGUGAGUAAUGCAUCGGAACGUGCCCAGUCGUGGGGGAUAACGCAGCGAAAGCUGCGCUAAUACCGCAUACGAUCUAUGGAUGAAAGCGGGGGACCGUAAGGCCUCGCGCGAUUGGAGCGGCCGAUGUCAGGUUAGGGAGUUGGUGGGGUAAAGGCUCACCAAGCCAACGAUCUGUAGCUGGUCUGAGAGGACGACCAGCCACACUGGGACUGAGACACGGCCCAGACUCCUACGGGAGGCAGCAGUGGGGAAUUUUGGACAAUGGGCGCAAGCCUGAUCCAGCAAUGCCGCGUGCAGGAAGAAGGCCUUCGGGUUGUAAACUGCUUUUGUACGGAACGAAACGGUCUGGGUUAAUACCUCGGGCUAAUGACGGUACCGUAAGAAUAAGCACCGGCUAACUACGUGCCAGCCGCCGCCGUAAAAC